UACGUAGGGUGCGAGCGUUAAUCGGAUUUACUGGGCGUAAAGCGUGCGCAGGCGGCCCGUUAAGACAGGUGUGAAAUCCCUGGGCUCAACCUAGGAAUUGCGCUUGUGACUGGCGGGCUCGAGUACGGUAGAGGGGGGUGGAAUUCCUUGUGUAGCAGUGAAAUGCGUAGAGAUCAGGAGGAACACCGAUGGCGAAGGCAGCCCCCUGGGCCUGUACUGACGCUCAUGCACGAAAGCGUGGGGAGCAAACAGG
rnacentral:rRNA from 1 species